rnacentral:tRNA from 1 species
AAAAUCCGUCGACUUUAGAAAUCGUGAGGGUUCAAGUCCCUCUAUCCCCCCAAAAAGACCGAUUUGACUAUUUCUCCUACCCUCUCUUUUUUUUAGUGGUUCAAAAUUCGUUCUCUUUCUCAUUCAUUCUACCCUUUUACAAACGUAUCAGAGCAGAAUUUUUUUCUUUUAUCACAAAUCACAAGUGGUGUGGUAUAUAUGAUAUACGUACAAACGAACAUCUUUGAACAAAGAAUCCCGAUUCACAAUUCAUAUCAUUGCUCAUACUGAAACUUAUAAAUUAUUCUAUUCAAGAAAUCGAAUUCCACGCUCAAGACUUUUAAUACUUUUUUUAUCUUUUUUAAUUGACAUAGACCCCAGUCAUCUAGUAAAAUGAGGAUGAUGCGCCGGUAAUGGUCGGGAUAGCUCAGCUGGUAGAGCAGAGGACUGAAAAUCCUCGUGUCAC